rnacentral:rRNA from 1 species
CGAUGAUGCAUAGCCGAGUUGAGAGACUGAUCGGCCACAGUUGGGACUGAGACACCGGACCCAAAACUCCGUACGGGGAGGCAGCAGUAGGGAAUCUUCCACAAUGGACGAAAGUCUGAUGGAGCAACGCCGCGUGAGUGAAGAAGGUUUUCGGAUCGUAAAAGCUCUGUUGUUGGUGAAGAAGGAUAGAGGUAGUAACUGGCCUUUAUUUGACGGUAAUCAACCAGAAAGUCACGGCUAACUACGUGCCAGCAGCCGCGGUAAU